UAAUCAUCUGUUCUGUUCUGUACUCUUCAGAGUGGACACACUUGAGUUGAUUUAACACCUUCUGUGGUCACGAGCUCCAUGUUGCAUAUGUGUGCUAGGAGCACAGAGACCAAUAAUGGAAACACUUGAGAGGAUGUAAGCAUCUUUCAUGGUCUUGAGCUUCUGGUUCCAUCUAUUUGUUAGGGGCAUGGAGACCAAUCCUUAGAAUGGACACCCUUGAGCUGAUGUAAGCAUCCUCUAUGGUUGUGAGCUCCAUGGUUACAUCUCUGCAUUAAGAUCAUGGAGACCAAUAAUGGACACUGCUACACCAAUUCUGGCAUUCUGUCAUGGCCUCGAACUCAAUGGUUGUCUUAAGAGCAUGGAGACCAGUGUGUAAUGGACACACUUGAAAUGAUUCUGUAAUGAUCAAGACCUUUUUGAUUCAGUGAUGGAUGCACCAUAGCUAAUUAAAUUAUUCUCCAAUCAUGAGGAUCUUUGCCUUAUCACUGCAGGGAAGGAGUAUGUCAUCCUACUCAUUAUAUUUAAUGAUGAAGACCCUGACUGUGACCAAUGUGGCUAAGGAGAGUAAAGAUUACGGACUCUGGGUUAGACGGGAAGUGCCUCUGGAUCUCUGGCCUCAGCUUCAUCUGCUUGAUGAGGAAGAAUAGCGAGGCCAACGAAGUUCUGGAGGAAUGCCAGUUUGGAUGGGAUGGACCAGCCCAGACCAUGCACCUUUAAGGCAGCAUAACGUGCCAUUCUGCCUGGGGCAGAUGACAAGAAAAG